rnacentral:rRNA from 1 species
UAGAACUAACGCUGGCAGUGCGUCUUAAGCAUGCAAGUCAGACGGAAUGUAGUAAUACAUUCAGUGGCGAACGGGUGAGUAACGCGUGGAUAAUCUACCUACGAGAUGGGGAUAACUAUUAGAAAUAGUAGCUAAUACCGAAUAAAGUCAAUUAAGAUGUUAGUUGAUGAAAGGAAGCCUUUAAAGCUUCGCUUGUAGAUGAGUCUGCGUCUUAUUAGCUAGUUGGUGGGAUAAGAGCCUACCAAGGCUAUGAUAAGUAACCGGCCUGAGAGGGUGAUCGGUCACACUGGAACUGAGAUACGGUCCAGACUCCUACGGGAGGCAGCAGCUAAGAAUCUUCCGCAAUGGGCGAAAGCCUGACGGAGCGACACUGCGUGAACGAAGAAGGUCGAAAGAUUGUAAAGUUCUUUUAUAAGUGAGGAAUAAGCUUUGUAGGAAAUGACAAAGCGAUGACGUUAAUUUAUGAAUAAGCCCCGGCUAAUUACGUGCCAGCAGCCGCGGUAAUACGUAAGGGGCGAGCGUUGUUCGGGAUCAUUGGGCGUAAAGGGUGAGUAGGCGGAUAUGCAAGUCUAUGUGUAAAAUACCACAGCUCAACUGUGGAACUAUGCUGGAAACUGCAUGACUAGAGUCUGAUAGGGGAAGUUAGAAUUCCUGGUGUAAGGGUGGAAUCUGUUGAUAUCAGGAAGAAUACCAGAGGCGAAGGCGAACUUCUAGGUCAAGACUGACGCUGAGUCACGAAAGCGUAGGGAGCAAACAGGAUUAGAUACCCUGGUAGUCUACGCUGUAAACGAUGCACACUUGGUGUUAAUCGAAAGGUUAGUACCGAAGCUAACGUGUUAAGUGUGCCGCCUGGGGAGUAUGUUCGCAAGAAUGAAACUCAAAGGAAUUGACGGGGGCCCGCACAAGCGGUGGAGCAUGUGGUUUAAUUCGAUGAUACGCGAGGAACCUUACCAGGGCUUGACAUAUACAGGAUAUAGUUAGAGAUAACUAUUCCCCGUUUGGGGUCUGUAUACAGGUGCUGCAUGGUUGUCGUCAGCUCGUGCCGUGAGGUGUUGGGUUAAGUCCCGCAACGAGCGCAACCCUUGUUGUCUGUUACCAGCAUGUAAAGAUGGGGACUCAGACGAGACUGCCGGUGAUAAGCCGGAGGAAGGUGAGGAUGACGUCAAAUCAUCAUGGCCCUUAUGUCCUGGGCUACACACGUGCUACAAUGGCCUGUACAAAGCGAUGCGAAACAGUGAUGUGAAGCAAAACGCAGAAAGCAGGUCUCAGUCCAGAUUGAAGUCUGAAACUCGGCUUCAUGAAGUUGGAAUCGCUAGUAAUCGUAUAUCAGAAUGAUACGGUGAAUACGUUCUCGGGCCUUGUACACACCGCCCGUCACACCACCCGAGUUGAAGAUACCCGAAGCUAUUAUUCUAACCCGCAAGGGAGGAAGGUAUCUAAGGUAUGUUUAGUGAGGGGGGUGAAGUCGUAACAAGGUAGCCGUACUGGAA